rnacentral:rRNA from 1 species
AGGGUUUGAUCCUGGCUCAGAAUGAACGCUGGCGGCGUGCUUAACACAUGCAAGUCGAACGGUAACAGAAGAGCUUGCUCUUGCUGACGAGUGGCGCACGGGUGAGUAAUGCAUAGGUAACGUGCCCCUUAGUCUAGGAUAGCCACUGGAAACGGUGAUUAAUACUGGAUACGCCUUCUCCUUUAAUAAGAGUUGGGAAAGUUUUUCGCUAAGGGAUCGGCCUAUGUUGUAUCAGGUAGUUGGUGAGGUAAUGGCUCACCAAGCCUAUGACACAUAGCGGGUCUGAGAGGAUGAUCCGCCACACUGGUACUGAGACACGGACCAGACUCCUACGGGAGGCAGCAGUGGGGAAUAUUGCACAAUGGACGAAAGUCUGAUGCAGCAACGCCGCGUGGAGGAUGACACAUUUCGGUGCAUAAACUCCUUUUAUAUGAGAAGAUAAUGACGGUAUCAUAUGAAUAAGCACCGGCUAACUCCGUGCCAGCAGCCGCGGUAAUACGGAGGGUGCAAGCGUUAUUCGGAAUCACUGGGCGUAAAGGGUGCGUAGGCGGUUUGAUAAGUCUGAUGUGAAAUCCUAUGGCUCAACCAUAGAACUGCAUUGGAAACUGUCAAACUAGAAUACUGAAGGGGCAGAUGGAAUUAGUGGUGUAGGGGUAAAAUCCGUAGAUAUCACUAGGAAUACCGAAAGCGAAAGCGAUCUGCUGGGAAGUUAUUGACGCUGAGGCACGAAAGCGUGGGGAGCAAACGGGAUUAGAUACCCCGGUAGUCCACGCCCUAAACGAUGAAUGCUAGUCGUCGGAAGGCUCGUCUUUUCGGUGAUGCAGUUAACACAUUAAGCAUUCCGCCUGGGGAGUACGGUCGCNAGAUUAAAACUCAAAGGAAUAGA